rnacentral:rRNA from 1 species
CGCAUCUGUGCAUGCAGCAUAUCAAUAAGCGGAGGAAAAGAAACUAACAAGGAUUCCCCUAGUAACGGCGAGUGAAGCGGGAAGAGCUCAAAUUUCGAAAUCUUAAAGGGUUUCCCUUUACGAAUUGUAGUUUAAAGAAGUGUUUUCUGUUGAGGUUUUGGUAAAAGUUCUUUGGAAUAGGACAUCAUAGAGGGUGAGAAUCCCGUAUUUGACCUUUACUUUCAACUUUGUGAUACACUUUCAAAGAGUCGGAUUGUUUGGGAAUGCAGUCCAAAAUGGGUGGUAAAUUUCAUCUAAAGCUAAAUAUUGGCGAGAGACCGAUAGCGAACAAGUACCGUGAGGGAAAGAUGAAAAGAACUUCGAAAAGAGAGUUAAACAGUACGUGAAAUUGUCAAAAGGGAAGCGUUUGACACCAGUGUUGUUUUUCUGAAAAUCAAUUAAAGAACUGUUUAUGCUAAGUUGUUUAGACUUUAUCAGCUAACUGUUUAGUUUUGAGCUUUUCUUUAAUGCACUUUUCAGUUAACAAGUCAACAUCAAUUUCUUUUGCUGUAAAAAAGCUUGAGGAAGGUGGCUUGAGAUUCGUCUUAAGUGUUUAUAGCCUCUUGCCUAUGCAGUCGGAGAGAUUGAGGUCUGCAGCGUAGAUCCUUCGGGGCUAAAUGCAUUUGUGCUAAGUUAUAGCAUUUUAUAGACAACUAGUUGACUAUGAUUUGUCUUGUAGCUUACUCGCUUAUGUUAUUUUACCUACGCUUAGGAUGUUGACGAGACUGUCGAUCUC